UUAUUAGUCCCCAAGGACUGUAUGGGUGUGUAUACUGUGAUUGGUUGACAUCUUCCUGAGUCUUCUGUCAGCUUUGUUACACCCUGUUAGGGCAGGACAAAAUAUACCUUCACCAUUCGUGUGGGGAAUUUAGAUUUGUGGCCUCAUGGAGUUUCAUCAACGCUUAAGCCCCACCCACUAAACCUGAGCAGAAGUCUAAUCAGCCCAUAAUAACUGAAAACACCUGUGUGGAUGUUCACUUAGAGCCUCUAAUUGUAUUUGUAGAACUAAAGCCAAAGCUGUCUCAUUAAACAUUUCUCUGCAGUUUUAAAUGCCACCAAAGUCAGUCCUCUUAAGGAUGCCCUCAGCAUGUUCACUUCAUAUACAUAUUGAAAAUGAUUUUGAGACAUUUAAUUGCAAAACUUCAGGAUGCAUUAGAUAAGCUUAGGUCAAUAAAGCUGCCAUCAAAUGCACUAAUAAUUGGCAAUUGUGUUUUUAGGACAUAUUGCUACAGACUAAUUAACAUUCGUAAUGUCCUGUUUUUUUGAAAAUGUAUUACUUUGUCUUACAGGACGUGGUGUAUUUGCCCUAUCUUCAUUCUUCAAAGGAGAUUUUGUACUGGAAUACAGAGGAGACAUGAUAGAUGAUGCAGAAUCUCAAUGGAGAAGGUGCAUUUAUCACUCAUCAUGUGUUGCAUUCAUGCUUCAUUCAAGUGGAGAGGGAGAACAUGGUGAUGACCAUGAAUGCAGCUGAUGCUGUCAUUCCUGUGGAAAGCUUCCUGUAUGCUGUCUUGUUAGAGACGCAGAUGACUGAAACUUAGCCAUGAGACACUAAUCAACAGGUACAUUCAUGUUUAGCACCAACCUUACUCCUAGAAAUUUCUAACUCACCGUUUGUUGCUUUUGUGCCCUUUAAGCAGGUAAAUAAGCUGUUUUUUAAAUGCAUCUAGAAACAUAAUGGUAAUAGGAUAUUCAGGACAGAUUUGAAUGUUCAUAGGGAUGUUACUUUGUGAUAAAAUAUCACUCAUCUGGGACAUUCACGACGUCCCCAUAGCACAUCUUACAUCAUUGUAUGAAUAGAAACUGUGUGUUAAGUAUCUGACAACCUAGAGACUUGGUCUAGCAUUGGUCCCCAUAAGGAACCACGACAUGGUGUGUGAUAUGUCCCCACUAAGCUUGUUUAUUCAAUAUGUGGGAAAACAGGCAGAGGUUGAUGGAGGAGGAGGGGAAUAUUGAAUUUGAUGAUUUUGUCGUUGAAGUUUCGUGCCUGCUUGAAUUUAACAUUAGAAAUUUGUCAUUAAGAACAUGCAGUAGUGUAAAUAAAUACUGCACAUUACAUCAAAUUGAACACUUGUUUUUCAUAUUUAUGUUUACAAUUACAAUAUUUUAGAUGCAGUUAUAUUUUAAGGCUGUCUUUCAAACGUA
rnacentral:lncRNA from 1 species